CGUUAGCGGCGGACGGGUGAGUAACACGUGGGUAACCUACCUAUAAGACUGGGACAACUUCGGGAAACCGGAGCUAAUACCGGAUAAGAUAUCGAACCGCAUGGUUCGAUAGUGAAAGAUGGUUUUGCUAUCACUUAUAGAUGGACCCGCGCCGUAUUAGCUAGUUGGUGAGGUAACGGCCCACCAAGGCAACGAUACGUAGCCGACCUGAGAGGGUGAUCGGCCACACUGGAACUGAGACACGGUCCAGACUCCUACGGGAGGCAGCAGCC
rnacentral:rRNA from 1 species